rnacentral:rRNA from 1 species
AUUGAACGCUGGCGGCAGGCCUAACACAUGCAAGUCGAACGAGUGGCGGACGGGUGAGUAAUGUCUGGGAAACUGCCUGAUGGAGGGGGAUAACUACUGGAAACGGUAGCUAAUACCGCAUACCAUCGGAUGUGCCCAGAUGGGAUUAGCUAGUAGGUGGGGGAAAGGCUCACCUAGGCGACGAUCCCUAGCUGGUCUGAGGGGAUGACCGGCGACACUGGAACUUGGACACGGUCCAGACCCCAACGGGAGUCAGCAGUGGGGAAUAGUGGACAAUGGGCGCAAGCCUAAUGCAGCCAUGCCGCGUGUAUGAAGAGGGCUGUCGGGUUGUAAAGUACUUUCAGCGGGGAGGCGUUACCCGCAGAGGAAGCACCGGCUAACUCCUGGCCAGCCGCCGGGUAAUAC